rnacentral:lncRNA from 1 species
GGGGAGGAGAGGAGGGGAGGCGGCGGUGGGGAAGGAAGGAGGGGACCGCCGGCAGUGGGGGAGGGGGGAGGGGAGCACCGGUGGUGGUCGCGGUGGGGGGAGGCGGGGUGGGCCGGGCCGGAGAGGCAGGGAACGGCCGGAUCCGGCCUUGGAGGGGCGGGGGCCAGGGAUGCGGCAGCGGCGGCGGUCGGGCACGAGACGAGGGAAGGAGUGAGUGAGAGAGAGAGAGAGAAAGAGAGAUAGGGUUAGGGGGAGGUUUUAAUUUUUUUUCAUGAAUCUUUGCUGGCGGCCGAUAAAAAGCCGGGCCGCCAGCAAAUAAUCCUUUGCCGGCAGCCCGACAAAAAGAUGCCGGCAAAGUCGUUUUCUUCCUUUAGUUUUUUUCUGUUUUUAUUUCACUUAUUCACUAAAAACUGGUGUUUUUCCAUGUCACUUUAGACUUCCUUUAGGGUUAGGGGAACGUUCGAGCGGGUUAGUCUAGUUUGUGAAGGAAGUGCAACCUCAGAUACUUGGAUUGUGUUUUCCUCUUAACACCAUCUUUAUAUAACCAUUUGAUACAUCAUCCAAGAUUUCAAGUUCUCUGGACCAUUCGUCGUGUAAUUUGAGGCAUCACCCUCUCCUGCGGGCCUCGUGGCGUCUGCGGGAUAGCUUUUCACCAAAACUGGGGUUCUCAAGUCACUUUACUCUACAUUUGUGUUGUACUAGCACACGGGGACAUGAAAAACCAAAAGGCUACCCAAGCCCUGCAAAGAAUUCUACUCCGUCCGUCCGAAUUGCGACUUUUCCCCCCUAAGUCCGAAACUUCCGUGCGGGUUAGUCUAGUUUGUGAAGGAAGUGCAACCUCAGAUAUUUGGAUUGUGUUUUCCUCUUAACACCAUCUUUAUGUACCCAUUUGAUGACAUCAUCCAAGAUUUCAAGUUCUCUAGACCAUUCGUCGUGUGAUUUGAGGCAUCGCCCCCUCCUGCAGGCCUCGUGGCGUCUACGGGGUAGCUUUUCACCAAAACAUUGGUUUUCCUGAUGUUUUGCUCUUACUUAGUGUUAUAUUGCCACAUGGGCACAUGUAAAACAAAAAAUCUACCCCAAGCCCUCACAGAAUUCUUCUCCCUCGGUCCGAAUUGCGUGUUUUCCUCAUUCUAGGGCUUGGGUUUUAAUGUUCCUUAGUGUUUUGUUACUAGCUUUUCACCAAAACUUGGGUUUUCAUGUCACUUUACUAUAUCAUAGUGUUGUAUUAGGACAUGUCAACAUGAAAAAGCAAACAUCUACCCCAUGGACCGACUAAAUUAUGUCCCAUCGGUCUGAAUUGAUACUUUUCCCGUUAGGUGUGGAACAUUCAUGCCCAUUCGCUAGUAUUGUUUGCAAAGGAAGUGUCACAUAAGGGCUAUGGAUUUGAUUUUACCAUUAACAAACCUUUCAUUUACAUAUACAUGGCACACCAUGCACAAGGCGAAAGCCGGGAAACCACUUGUUUCGUCAUUUCAUGCUUUGAUGAACCGAUCGUAACCAAUUAACUCAUGGGCAUGCAAACUUAUGAUUUGGGAAACUAAAAUUUUAUAAGUACAAACUGGGUUCAAUCUAAACAACAAUAUAUAUUGCUCUAUGCGUUUACAAUAUGGUUGAUUUCAUCACAACCAAACAAAGAAAAGAAAAAGAAAAAUAUCCUUUGCCGGCGGCUAUUAUAUGGGCCU